GACCUCAGUUCAGGUGAGAUUACCGGCUGAAUUUAAGCAUAUUACUAAGCCGAGGAAAAGAAACUAACAAGGGAUUCCCCUAGUAGCAGCGAGCGAACAGGGGAAGAGCCCAGCGCUGAAUCCCCCGGGCCUCGCUCGGCGGGAAAUGUAGCGUUUGGGAGGGCCCGUCAACACGGCGACUCGCUCACUGGUUCAAGUCCAACUUGAAUGGGGCCACACAGAGGGUGACAGGCCCGUAGAGCAGGAGCGGUUGUCGUGUGGGUCUCUCCUUAGAGUCGGUUUGCUUGAGAGUGCAGACUUAAGUGGGUGGUAAACUCCAUCUAAGGCUAAAUAUGACCACGAGACCGAUAGCACACAAGUACCGUGAGGGAAAGGUGAAAAGAACUUUGAAGAGAGAGUUCAAGAGUACGUGAAACUGAAGUGGUGUAAACGGACGAGUUCGAAAAGUCCGAAUGGUGAGAUUCAAGCUUACCGUGCCGGUGGCCCUCGGGUUCAGAUGGCGUCGUCAGCUCGGGCUUCGGUUCGGGUCAUACGGCGUCACUCGUCCUGGGGGUAUCUGUCUGGUGCGGUGGGCUGCACUUCUCGCCUAGUAGGACGUCGCGACCCGUUGGGAUGUUCCGUUCACUGGCCCUCGGUGGAGCCCGCGCCGGAGCGUGGCCUUGUGCCGCGUUGCUGUUUGCACGGACCCGGGGUGACCUGAUCGGCGCCCGACGGUAUCAAAGCUUGGGAAGAGGCCGCACAGAGGAUGCGUUCGAUGGCCGUUUCGGCCUACACUCGGACAGGCCUGCACCCGGUCAGCGGCGCUU
rnacentral:rRNA from 1 species